UCUCUAUGCAGUGGCUGUCUGUCUCAAACACCAACAACUGGCUGCAGAGAUGCUAUCAGAAGAGGACUGUAACUUGCCAACUAGAUAUGGCUGUCAUAGGUAGCUGAAGCCAGACUAUUCUAUAGCAUUCAUGGAGAUCAGUAAAGAUAUUAAAAACUCAGAAGAACUUUGGAAAACGAAGCCUCAGGGGAACCUGGAAGAUAACAGUUACUCAGUAAAAUAAUGGCCUAUAAUAGCUAAUAAUUAAAGUCUGUAUACUUCAAGUGUA